rnacentral:rRNA from 1 species
CUGGUUGAUCCUGCCAGUACUAUAUGCUUGUCUCAAAGCCUAAGCCAUGCAAAUCUAAGAUCAAUCAUAUGUGGUUUCGGCCAUGUAUAAUGAUAGUCUGUGGAAGGCUCAUUAUAACAGUUAUACACCUAGCCACUGGAAAGUUUACAAGGAUACCACCGUUAACUGCAGCGAUAAUACUUGUUCCCUUCGGGGUGGUAAUAGUAUAUGUGCUGAAGCCUAGCUAUUGUAACUCAGUUUUUCUGGAUGUGGCAACAUAUUCAGGGUGAUUGGGAAUCGACCGCUAGCAGGUGCCCGCAAGGGCGCGGGAAAGUGAAUUAACAAGGUUUUCAUAAGGCCUUUCAGGUUUGCUUUUUCUAGUGGCCAGGCAGAGGUGUUUCUUACCUAUCAGCUCGUUGUUUGUUUAAAGGACAAACCAGGCUAUGACGGGUACGGGGAAUCAGUGUUCGAUUCCGGAGAGGGAGCCUGAGAAAUCGCUACCACAUCUAAGGACGGCAGCAGGCGCGCAAAUUACCCAAUCCCAAUACGGGGAGGUAGUGACAAGCUAUAGUGUCUCCACACCCUUAGGUGGGGAGGUAUUAUCAUCUGAUAAUUUUCCAUGAUUUGGGUGUAGAUAACCCUUAGAGCAGCCAUUGGAGGACAAGUCUGGUGCCA